CUACCCUGGAGCCACGCUCUGUGAUGGGCCCCGUCCUCGCGGACRGGCCCGAAACCCGUGGGCGCCGUCGUCCGGCCCUGAGCGUAGCAAGAGAAAUCCCUCGCUCGGAGURCCUGGCGGCCGGUCGCCCCGAACCCAUUUCUACAAG
rnacentral:misc_RNA from 1 species